AGGGUUUGAUUAUGGCUCAGAUUGAACGCUGGCGGCAUGCUUUACACAUGCAAGUCGAACGGCAGCAUAGAGAGCUUGCUCUCUGAUGGCGAGUGGCGAACGGGUGAGUAAUACAUCGGAACGUGUCCGUUUGUGGGGGACAACCACCCGAAAGGGUGGCUAAUACCGCAUAAGACCUGAGGGUGAAAGCCGGGGACCGCAAGGCCUGGCGCGAACGGAGCGGCCGAUGACUGAUUAGCUGGUUGGCGGGGUAAAGGCCCACCAAGGCGACGAUCAGUAGCUGGUCUGAGAGGACGACCAGCCACACUGGAACUGAGACACGGUCCAG
rnacentral:rRNA from 1 species